UGAUAAUUUUUAGCAUCAAGGGAAAGAAUCUUCCUGGUAAACUGAAGUUCCUUAGCUGUAGCAUAAGUCCCUAAUUUCUCAGAAACCCACCGCCUAUGAUGCCAUAUCUGAUAGUUUUUGCUGUUUUUCUUAGCAAUUCCGUUCAACGUAAUCCAGCUCUUCAUCCAAGUCUGCAUUGAGUGCCUCGAGUACUAGACGCCUGAAAUGCCAAACAGUGUAAUUGCCGGGAUUAAGGAGGAUGACUAGGUGGGUGAGCUGGAGGGCGCGAGGGGAUCGCUCGUCAGAGAGAUAGAUAGCGCGGAAGUAGUUCAUUGCCUCCUCAAACUCUGGCUUGUAAUCUAUGGGCACCACCGGAUUGGGACCGUCGUCUUGGGGGACGGGAACAACGUCCGACCACUCCGGUAUCUGGCUCAGUGGCACCAUCUCCUCCGGCCGCAGGUCGUCGUCGGAGUCCAUCGCUUGCUUCUU
rnacentral:misc_RNA from 1 species